UGGGGAAUAUUGGACAAUGGGCGCAAGCCUGAUCCAGCCAUGCCGCGUGAGUGAUGAAGGCCCUAGGGUUGUAAAGCCCUUUCACCGGUGAAGAUAAUGACGGUAACCGGAGAAGAAGCCCCGGCUAACUUCGUGCCAGCAGCCGCGGUAAUACGAAGGGGGCUAGCGUUGUUCGGAUUUACUGGGCGUAAAGCGCACGUAGGCGGACUUUUAAGUCAGGGGUGAAAUCCCGGGGCUCAACCCCGGAACUGCCUUUGAUACUGGAAGUCUUGAGUAUGGUAGAGGUGAGGGGAAUUCCGAGUGUAGAGGUGAAACUCGUAGAUAUUCGGGGGAACACCAGUGGCGAAGGCGGCUCACUGGACCAUUACUGACGCUGAGGUGCGAAAGCGUGGGGAGCAAACAGG
rnacentral:rRNA from 1 species